UUUUCCUCCUCUUUGUUCUCAUCUCUCACACGAGGUUUUCCUUUAAUGUUUAACAACCCUUGCAAUGAAGAAUGGCACACAAGGAAGCUACUGGGGAGUCUGAGUGUGCAGACAGACUGGCCCGGCAGCCGUGCGGCAGGGGGGCGGUCGGCCGGGCCCUUUUUGAGUAGCCCUGUUCUCUCAAGCUCACCAGCAGCCCCCGGGAGUGUCCUUCAGCCUGCGGGGAGGAGGCAGGCCUAGCUGGGUCUAGCUGCUGGCUGCAAGAGUUAUCUUCAGUAGGAGAGUGGUUCAAAUGACCACUGGCAUAAAGACAGACAAACCAAUGAAAUAAGAUACGAUAGCCCAGGAAUAAACCCUUCCAUAUGUGGCCAAAUGAUUUCCAACAGUGGGGAAAAGACAGUCUCUUCAACAAAUGUUGCCAGGAAAACUGGAUAUUUCCCUGCAAAUGAAUGAAGGUGGACCCUCACCUAACACCAUCUAGAAAAAUCAAAAUGGACCAAAGACCUAACAAACCUAGACCGACCAGGAGAAGCCAGUCCUGCAAGAACCCACAAGAGAUUUCCAGGGGUCACAUAGGCCUGGGACCUCACUGGGCUCUCCUCCUGGGGCCUCUCCCAGCCUCCCCAUUCCACAGCCAAGGAAACAGAAGCCCAGGGAAGGUCUGAGAGGCGAGCGUCAGGAUCUCCGUCUUCCAUCCGAGGUAGUAAAUAACCAGGAGAAGGGAACCGAAGCCUGGCACGGGACAGCCCCAGGUUUGGACCCCGACUCUGGCUGCAGCUCCGUGACCCAGGCAAGUAGCUCAUUCCCUCUUAAGCCACGGGGAUGAGAGAUCCUUCUCGCUGGGGUACUGUGGGGGUUGAACACAUGGAUGUGGGGGAAGCGUCUGCCCCCAAA